UUUCUGGUCAAGCGACCAAGGGCAUAAGGUGAAUGCCUUGGCACUGAGAGCCGAAGAAGGACGUGACAAGCUGCGAAAAGUCUCGGGGAGGAGCAAAUAUCCAUAGAUCCGGGAAUGUCCGAAUGGGGAAACCCACUUGAGCAAACCUCAAG
rnacentral:rRNA from 1 species